ensembl:snRNA U6 U6 spliceosomal RNA
GUGCUCACUUUGGCAGCACAUAUACUAAAACUGGAAUGAUAGAAGAUUAGCACGGCUCCUUUUGCAAGGAUGACAUGCAAAUUCGUGAAGUGUUCCAUAUUUUU